GACGAACGCUGGCGGUGUGCUUCACACAUGCAAGUCGAACGAGGUAGCAAUACCUAGUGGCGGACGGGCGAGUAACGCGUGGGAAUCUGCCUUUAGAUGGGGGAUAACGGGCCGAAAGGUCCGCUAAUACCGCAUAUGCCGCAAGGUGAAAGGAGUAAUCCGGCUAAAGAUGAGCCCGCGUCCGAUUAGCUAGUUGGGAGAGUAAGAGCCUACCAAGGCGACGGUCGGUAGCUGGUCUGAGAGGAUGAUCAGCCACAAUGGGACUGAGAACACGGCCCAUACUCCUACGGGAGGCAGCAGUGGGGAAUUUUACGCAAUGGGGGAAACCCUGACGUAGCGACACCGCGUGAGCGAAGAAGCCCUUUGGGGUGUAAAGCUCUGUCAGCUGGAACGAAAACAAUGACGGUACCAGCAGAGGAAGCAUCGGCUAACUACGUGCCAGCCGCCGCUGUAA
rnacentral:rRNA from 1 species